rnacentral:rRNA from 1 species
AGCAGCCGCCGCGGGAAUACGAAGGUCCCGAGCGUUGUUCGGAAUCACUGGGCGUAAAGGGAGCGUAGGCGGCGUGGUAAGUCAGAUGUGAAAUCCCGGGGCUCAACCCCGGAACUGCAUCCGAUACUGCCGUGCUAGAGGAUUGGAGAGGUAGCUGGAAUUCUUGGUGUAGCAGUGAAAUGCGUGGAGAUCAAGAGGAACACUCGUGGCGAAAGCGAGCUACUGGACAAUAUCUGACGCUGAGGCUCGAAGGCCAGGGUAGCGAAAGGGAUUAGAUACCCCGGUAGUCCCUGUCUCUUAUAC